GUCGUAUAAAGAUGCAUUAGAUGCAAGACAAUCUAGCAUUUCCCUUUACGGCAUUGUAGUAAAAUUAGAAGUUCAAGCAAAAGAAAUUGUUGCCUGGUUAAUAAUCGAAACAAUUUGAGUUUGAAUGGAAGAGGUUAACCGUAUGACCUUGUGUUGAAAAGCACUAAAAAUAAUCUUGAAUAACGAUUUCUGAAUUUUCGUUAUUUUGAGUUACGGCUAG
rnacentral:sRNA from 12 species